GAAAGAUAUGAGCAUUUCUUUUAAUUUUUAGAUUUAGAAAACUGUUUUCUGUCAUUGACAGUUGAAUGCAUUUUGCAUGUUUUCGCUUAUUUUUUUUUAUGGAAAAUGAAAGCUGGAGUUUUGUUAGAAAAUGGAAAAUAGAAAACUAUUUUCCACAAGUAAACAGGCCCUCAAUUUUUCACUGGCUGUUUAUUGGAGCUUUCUGGUUCUCCUCUAGAGUUCCUUGAUGUCUGUUUUUCAGGGACUAGCUUCUCCAUGUGUCUUUCAUUUUUGGUGGUCUUUCAUACUUGUUUUAUGCUUGAUUUAUGUCCAUUUAGUGCAUUUGUUAUUUGUCAAAAAAUAGAAAUGAAUUCUUGUGCAUGUAAAUGGCCUGAAAGAGAGAAAAUUUUUUGUCACAAAGCAUAUUAAAAAUUGAGAUCAGGUAGUUCUUAGUGGCUGUGACAAAGAAUAUAAUAAAUAAAAGGGGGCAGGCAGGUUUAAAAAGAUAAAAGGUUUGUUUUGCUUUUUGGAAUGCUUUUGACUGAAAAGAUUCCCUCAAUGACAACAAACACACAUCUUCCAUCUUUUCAGUAAUUUCCCUUUCAAGUGAAUGUUUAUUAAUGGAAAUUUAAAUUGUAGUGGAGGAAUUUUAUGUGUGAAGGAGUAAAUGUUGAAAAGUUUAUCAUAGCAUUUGAAGAAUCACAAGGUUAUAAGUAAAUUAGCUUUGUUCUCUUUUCUAGUGAAUGUGAAAGAUAGUAAGAUACUUUGGAAUAUCUCUUGAAAUUGGUUAUUUGAUUUUGAUGAAGCCAAAUGACCAGAAAAAAAAAAACCCUUUGUUUUUCAGUUUUUACUGAUUCUUUUAGCUUUAUCAAUUUGUACUUGAAAAUUUGACAUUUGUUUCCAAUUUAGCAAUCGACUCAAUUGAAAACAACUGGGUUGGCUAGUUGAUAAAAAUAAUAUAUAUUUUUGUGCAAAUUAUCAAUUUUAGCACUUUUUUCUUUUUAAAAAAAAUACCAGUUUGUGCAUUUGCAUCAAUUUUUGCUAUCCAACGUAAAAAUCAAUAAAGAUGGUUUGGUCAUGCGCACUGUAGAGAAUCAAAUGCUCUUCUAUGUAAAUGUGAUAAAUUAGUGGUGGAAGGAGUGAGGUGGAAGAGGGAAGACCUAAAAUGGUGUGGAGAGAAAUAGUAUUAUUAGCAGUGUUAUUAAGGCGAAAGGC
rnacentral:misc_RNA from 1 species